rnacentral:rRNA from 1 species
GACAGAGGAUGCAAGCGUGAUCCGGAAUUACUGGGCGUAAAGCGCACGCAGGCCGUUCGCCAAGUUUGGAGUGACAGUUGUCGGCUCAACCGACAAAGGACUUCAAAAACUGGUGAACUUGAGGACGAGAGAGGAACAUGGAACUCCAGGUGUAGUAGUGAAAUGCGUAGAUAUCUGGAAGAACACCAAUGGCGAAGGCAAUGUUCUGGCUCGUUUCUGACGCUCAGGUGCGAAAGCCAGGGGAGCGAACGGG